rnacentral:rRNA from 1 species
CCUACGGGUGGCUGCAGUGGGGAAUAUUGGACAAUGGGCGAAAGCCUGAUCCAGCCAUGCCGCGUGUGUGAAGAAGGCCUUCGGGUUGUAAAGCACUUUCAGUGGGGAAGAAAGCCUUGGGGCUAAUACCCUCGAGGAAGGACAUCACCCACAGAAGAAGCACCGGCUAACUCCGUGCCAGCAGCCGCGGUAAUACGGAGGGUGCGAGCGGUAAUCGGAAUUACUGGGCGUAAAGCGCGCGUAGGCGGUCUGAUAAGCCGGUUGUGAAAGCCCCGGGCUCAACCUGGGAACGGCAUCCGGAACUGUCAGGCUAGAGUGCAGGAGAGGAAGGUAGAAUUCCCGGUGUAGCGGUGAAAUGCGUAGAGAUCGGGAGGAAUACCAGUGGCGAAGGCGGCCUUCUGGACUGACACUGACGCUGAGGUGCGAAAGCGUGGGUAGCAAACAGGAUUAGAUACCCCUGUAGUC